GCCCGGGUGGCGGAACGGCAGACGCCGCGAUCUUAAAAAUCGCUGCCCCCGCGGGCGUGCGGGUUCGAAUCCCGCCCCGGGCA
rnacentral:tRNA from 1 species